UACGUAGGGUGCAGGCGUUAAUCGGAAUUACUGGGCGUAAAGCGUGCGCAGGCGGUCUAUUAAGACAGGUGUGAAAUCCCCGGGCUCAACCCAGGAACUGCGUCCGAUACUGGUUGGCUUGAAUCCGGGAGAGGGAUGUGGAAUUCCAGGUGUAGCGGUGAAAUGCGUAGAUAUCUGGAGGAAUACCGGUGGCGAAGGCGGCAUCCUGGACCGAGAUUGACACUGAUGAGCGAAAGCUAGGGGAGCAAACGGG
rnacentral:rRNA from 1 species